AUCCAUCUGUAGCUCCAAAGCAUGACGAUUUGGUGUUCACGCUCACGUGUGAGACGUGUCUUGCCCCUCACACUGCGUUUCGUUGGCACAUCACCCAUCUGACG